rnacentral:rRNA from 1 species
GACGAACGCUGGCGGCGUGCUUAACACAUGCAAGUCAAGGGGAAAAGGUAGCAAUAUCUUGAGUACACUGGCGCAAGGGUGAGUAAUAUAUAAGUAAUUUGCCUGUGGGUUCGGAAUAACUCGUCGAAAGGCGGGCUAAUACCGUAUAAUGCAGCGGCAUCGCAUGGUGAUGUUGUUAAAGUUGCAGCAAUGUAACGCCUAUAGAUAAGCUUGUAUCUGAUUAGCUAGUUGGUAGGGUAAUGGCCUACCAAGGCUACGAUCAGUAGCUGGUCUGAGAGGAUGAUCAGCCACACUGGAACUGAGACACGGUCCAGACUCCUACGGGUGGCUG